GAUGAACGCUGGCGGCGUGCCUAAUACAUGAAAGUCGAGCGAACGGACGAGAAGCUUGCUUCUCCGAUGUUAGCGGCGGACGGGUGAGUAACACGUGGAUAACCUACCUAUAAGACUGGGAUAACUUCGGGAAACCGGAGCUAAUACCGGAUAAUAUUUUGAACCGCAUGGUUCAAAAGUGAAAGACGGUCUUGCUGUCACUUAUAGAUGGAUCCGCGCUGCAUUAGCUAGUUGGUAAGGUAACGGCUUACCAAGGCAACGAUGCAUAGCCGACCUGAGAGGGUGAUCGGCCACACUGGAACUGAGACACGGUCCAGACUCCUACGGGAGGCAGCAGUAGGGAAUCUUCCGCAAUGAGCGAAAGCCUGACGGAGCAACGCCGCGUGAGUGAUGAAGGUCUUCGGAUCGUAAAACUCUGCUAUUAGGGAAGAACAUAUGUGUAAGUAACUGUGCACAUCUUGACGGUACCUAAUCAGAAAGCCACGGCUAACUACGUG
rnacentral:rRNA from 1 species